rnacentral:rRNA from 1 species
GACGAACGCUGGCGGCGUGCUUAACACAUGCAAGUCGAGCGGUAAGGCCCUUUCGGGGGGUACACGAGCGGCGAACGGGUGAGUAACACGUGGGUGACCUGCCCUUAGCUCUGGGAUAAGCCUGGGAAACUGGGUCUAAUACCGGAUAUGACUCCAUGACGCAUGUUGUGGGGUGGAAAGCCUUGUGCGGCUAGGGAUGGGCCCGCGGCCUAUCAGCUUGUUGGUGGGGUGAUGGCCUACCAAGGCGACGACGGGUAGCCGGCCUGAGAGGGCGACCGGCCACACUGGGACUGAGACACGGCCCAGACUCCUACGGGAGGCAGCA